UGGGACUGAAUCCCAGGACCCCAGGAUCACACUCUGAGCUGAGUCCCAGUCCCCAUGCCAAUCUACUGGAAGAGCACAUGUCUGUGCUCGGAGUCUGAGCCGAAGGCAGAUGCUCAACCACUGAGCCACCCAGGCAUCCCAAGUAAGAAUGUUCUAAGGAUGGAAUUCUAUGGUGUUAAAGGUCCAGAGUUCCCCACAUGUUGUGAUGAGGCCCAGGAUCUCUUUGGCCGUCUUUCACCUGGUUUGGGGGAUACUCUUUCUUCUCCUCUACCAUGCACGAGCACUUUGAACAAUUUGGUCACAGACCCUGACUCUGACCCUUUGUGAAGUCAUCCCUCCUUUUGCAGUCUCUGUUUUCUCAUCUGUGAAGUUAGGGGAUCAGAUGAUUGGGUUCUUGCACUUGCCAUUCCUCUGCCCCGGAGUUCUCAGGGCUUCUCCUCCUCCUCCCGUCAGGUUCUCAGAUGUCACCUUCUCAGAAAGAUCAUCCCUGGUCACCAAGUGGCAGUAGGUCCCUCUGUUGUCCCUCUGCUACAGGCUUCUGUGUUCCAUUCCUGUUCUUCACGUUCCCCGGGACUCGGACCACCAGCUAAAGUGCGUCCCAAAGGAUUUUUAUUCCUAUUAUAUAGACGAGGAAGGAGAUGCUUGAGGUCCGGAUUGUCCCACAUCAAGAGACUAGUCACUGAUGAAUCCCAGAGUCGCAGCAGCCCGAUACCAAUGCCAGAGCCAUGGGCUUUGUCUGCAAAGGAGCUUCCAGCAAUGAGAGGAUAAAGCCUCUGCUUCAAAAUGGAAGAUCUGGUGUCAGAUGAAUGUGCAGCAGGCCACUGUGUUUGACAGAACAUCGUAGGCAUUGAGCAGCUGGAGCCAAAUGGGAGCCAGGAGGAAGGAGGUGCCAGGACUAUCAAAAAUGGGUAUAAAGAAGAAAACCGGGCAGGAGCAUGGGACACUGAAGUGGGUUGGCCUGCGGAUUUGUAUCUUAGCCAGGAAAAAAAAAAAAAAUUAAACCAAGAUCUCUUGAGCUUUGAAGUUGCCAACCCCCAAAUUCACAGUUGUCUUCUUUUUAGUUAACCAUGAGAGUCUGCUUCAGAUCUUGGAAACCCAGAGCCUGUAUUAGUGGGGGAGUGUGGUAUUUCUCCAUAUCUGUUCAGGAAACGAUCACAUCGUGUGGUCAGGGUGAUAGCCUUUACCGGUUCAAAUCCCACACAUAACAGCAGGGACGCUGAGGCUUUGGGGGCCAUGCAAGUGGACAGCCUGAGGGACAAAAUGUUAGACAGUUGGUCUCCCCUGGGGCCCAACCCAUCAGGCUGUUUUCUCUCUUACGUCAUCACCAACAUGUUCUGAACAAUUCAGAAACAAAGGUUUAGAAAAUGUACAGCCGUUCAAAAAUAGAUUGUUGCUAAUUGGUAACAGAGCUUUACAUACGUUUACAUGACAUCUUGGAAAGGCCUAGAGCUGCCCCAGCUUUAGCGCUGGGCUUCUGUGGAACCAGCUGAAAGCUCUGUCCCAGGGAGAGAGCCUCGGCUAAGAUGGGGCGCACAUUGCUCAUUUCACUCAGACCCUAAUUCAGUCCUGCCCCUGGAGGGAUCAAGGGCUCCCUCCACCCCAGUCGCUGGGUCAGCAUUUCUCCCUGCCAGCUCUUCAGAAGCAGAGAGGGACAAGUCAGUCCCAACGAUUGAUAUGAUAUGUGGAAUAGACUUAAGGAGACAAAUACUUUGUUAAAAAUAAUGCUUAUGAAAAAUGUUUCUUCGCGCACUGUAUUUUCCUUUGAAAAUGAUGAAUGCUGCACUUGGAAACAAGUUGUCACAUUGGUAUCAUAUUCCUUAAAGCUCACUUUUCUGUUAUGAAAAAUCCAAUCAAACAGGAGUUGUGGGGCAGCUCUAACCUAGGGGGCCACCCCCUCCCAUGACUGUGAAUUCAUGUUAUUCCAACAGAGUAACUGACACUGAGAAGCAGGGAAUGGGGGCUGGCAACCAGACGGUGGCCUCUGUUCUCUGUUGGCAGGGAGAAGGAAGAACAGAUGCAAUUAUAAAUAGAAUUAUAGCCCAAACCAGGAUUACUUGGAUAACUCAGUCAACACAGGGUUUUGUUUGAUUCAAUUUUCUAGAUGAUUUCAUCAAUGAUUAACCUAACUAUGUUAGUGGAGAUCUAAAAGGAGAGCCAGCUUAAACAUACUCAGCAAGGCCAGCAUUUACUUUUUGCUUUUUUUGAACACUAGGAGUAUCUCCAGUUAUUGGCUUCUUUGGCUAGACAGUGCUAUCCACAUUUAUUUUUUGUGACAAAGCAGGAAAAAAAAUUACUAAGAGACUCUGUUUGGAAAUCUGAAAGAAAAUGGACAAGCUGGAGAAGUAUUCAUGCCGAAUAAUGACCUUAGAUGUCUUACCCAAAUGGAGUGCCAGGUCACACCACUGCCAGAGCAAUCAAUCAGUCUGUGUCUGUCUCUGUCUUUCUCUCCACGAUAUCAUUUGAUUUCUGUUUCUCUCCACAGAACAUGUAAUUCUUUGCAUGUAUAGUGAGAUGUGUUCCUGUGGCUCAGCUAGCUGCAAAAAUAAAAGUUGGAUGGUUGAUUGCAUUCUAAAUUGACCUCCUUGACUCACCAGAAUGCACGGCCUUUGGAAAUGCAUAUCAAAGGCACAAAGCUGGACGAAUGACCCAUCCACUCUUGACGUUUCCUGAAAAUGAAAUUACUGGAUAACAGAUUUGAUUAGGAAAUUCUUUCCAAAGUUUGCCUCGGUUUUAGUUCUUCUUUGGGCUUGAGCUUAUAAACUUAAAAGCGUCAGAAAGAGGAUUUCUCAUUUGGGAAAGAAUGUACAUUUGCCGCCUACUCAUAUCAAUCGAAACAUGAAAAUUGCUCUUUUUAAUCAAAAGCUUCUAAACAAA